UGGUGUGGGAAGAACGGGGACCUUCAUAGCUUUAGACCGCUUGCUGCAGCACAUACAGGAGCACGAGUUUGUGGACAUUCUGGGGCUGGUGGCAGAGAUGCGAUCCCACAGGCUGUUCAUGGUGCAGACAGAGGAACAGUAUAUAUUUAUCCACCAGUGUGUGCAACUGAUGUGGAGGAAGAGCAAACAGGUCCACAGCACCGGAGAAAUCAUCUUCGGGAACACCAGCAAGUCCUGACUGCAGACCGGCACAGUAUAAACACAGUCCACUUACCUCCUUCCCUUGCUUCAGGCUUUAGUGCUUGCUUUCUACCAGGAAAGAUUUUUACUGCCAUCGACACCAAAAAACAAACAAACAAAAAACAGGACGUUUUGUGUUUGAAAUGGUAGAAGCAUUCGCAAGGAACUUUGCCUUAAAGUAUCUUUAUUGUCUAAGGAGGGUACUUCAUCUGGCACAUCACUGCACUACUGGACUAAAUGAGGAGAGAGGAGACUGACUGGGGAUGUGGAGACACGGGAACAACAAGACAUCAGCUACCAUUGGAUACCGCAUGG